AUCUACAACAUGAAGAAUUCCAGAAGAAAAUAAUACAAAAGGAGGAGGAGGAGGAUGAAGAUGAUUUCUUCUGUGAAGUCACUUUAAUCCCUCCAGAACUUGUUGCUUCUGUGGAACUGCUCUUCUCAGAGGACCAACAGUGUGGAGGUUUCCAGAUGAAGCCUGUGAAGAAGGAAGAACCUGAAGAUACAGAUUAACUCAACAUUUCAGGUGAAGGAACCUCGAUCCCUGAGGAACACCUCACCCCAGUGGACCAACAAGUGAAGAAGGAAGAAGCUGAAGAUAAAGAUGAUCUCAAACUGAACAAGGAUUUCUCCUGCUCCUCGUGUCCACGUUCCUCUACAACCCAAAAUCAGCUCCACAAUCACAUCAAGAGCUGCAACCAUGUUAAAUAUGAGACUCUGGUGAAGAUU